rnacentral:rRNA from 1 species
GACGAACGCUGGCGGCGUGCUUAACACAUGCAAGUCGAACGGAAAGGCCCUGCUUUUGUGGGGUGCUCGAGUGGCGAACGGGUGAGUAACACGUGAGUAACCUGCCCUUGACUUUGGGAUAACUUCAGGAAACUGGGGCUAAUACCGGAUAGGAGCUCCUGCUGCAUGGUGGGGGUUGGAAAGUUUCGGCGGUUGGGGAUGGACUCGCGGCUUAUCAGCUUGUUGGUGGGGUAGUGGCUUACCAAGGCUUUGACGGGUAGCCGGCCUGUGAGGGUGACCGGCCACAUUGGGACUGAGAUACGGCCCAGACUCCUACGGGAGGCAGAGGUGGGGAGUAUUGCACAAUGGGCGGAAGCCUGAUGCAGCAACGCCGCGUGCGGGAUGACGGCCUUCGGGUUGUGAACCGCUUUCGCCUGUGACGAAGCGUGAGUGACGGUAAUGGGUAAAGAAGCACCGGCUAACUACGUG